GGCUCAGGACGAACGCUGGCGGCGUGCUUAACACAUGCAAGUCGAGCGGUAAGGCCCUUCGGGGUACACGAGCGGCGAACGGGUGAGUAACACGUGAGCAAUCUGCCCUUCACUCUGGGAUAACCCCCGGAAACGGGAGCUAAUACCGGAUAUGACCACUACACGCAUGUGUUGGUGGUGGAAAGUUCUGGCGGUGGAGGAUGAGCUCGCGGCCUAUCAGCUUGUUGGUGGGGUAAUGGCCCACCAAGGCUUCGACGGGUAGCCGGCCUGAGAGGGUGACCGGCCACACUGGGACUGAGACACGGCCCAGACUCCUACGGGAGGCAGCAGUGGGGAAUAUUGGACAAUGGGCGAAAGCCUGAUCCAGCAACGCCGCGUGAGGGAUGACGGCCUUCGGGUUGUAAACCUCUUUCAGCGCAGACGAAGCGAGAGUGACGGUAUGCGCAGAAGAAGCACCGGCCAACUACGUGCCAGCAGCCGCGGUAAUACGUAGGGUGCGAGCGUUGUCCGGAAUUAUUGGGCGUAAAGGGCUCGUAGGCGGUUUGUCGCGUCAGGAGUGAAAACUCGGGGCUCAACCCCGAGCCUGCUUCUGAUACGGGCAGACUAGAGGUAUGCAGGGGAGAACGGAAUUCCUGGUGUAGCGGUGAAAUGCGCAGAUAUCAGGAGGAACACCGGUGGCGAAGGCGGUUCUCUGGGCAUUACCUGACGCUGAGGAGCGAAAGUGUGGGGAGCGAACAGGAUUAGAUACCCUGGUAGUCCACACCGUAAACGUUGGGCGCUAGGUGUGGGGCUCAUUCCACGAGUUCCGUGCCGCAGCUAACGCAUUAAGCGCCCCGCC
rnacentral:rRNA from 1 species